rnacentral:rRNA from 1 species
GUUGUAUAGUCAAGUAAUUAAGUGCAUGUGGUGGAUGCCUUGGCAGUCAGAGGCGAUGAAAGACGUGAUAGCCUGCGAAAAGCUCCGGGGAGGCGGCAAAUAUCCUUUGAUCCGGAGAUGUCUGAAUGGGGGAACCCACCUACUUUAAGGUAGGUAUUGCAACAUGAAUACAUAGUGUUGCAAGGCGAACGAGGGGAAGUGAAACAUCUCAGUACCCUUAGGAAAAGAAAUCAAUUGAGAUUCCCUCAGUAGCGGCGAGCGAACGGGGAUCAGCCCAUUAAGUUAUGUGUGUUUUAGUGGAACGCUCUGGGAAGUGCGAACGUAGAGGGUGAUAUUCCCGUACACGAAAGGGCACACAUAAUGAUGACGAGUAGGGCGAGGCACGUGAAACCUUGUCUGAAUAUGGGGGGACCAUCCUCCAAGGCUAAAUACUCCUGACUGACCGAUAGUGAACCAGUACCGUGAGGGAAAGGCGAAAAGAACCCCUGUGAGGGGAGUGAAAUAGAUCCUGAAACCGCAUGCAUACAAGCAGUGGGAGCACCUUCGUGGUGUGACUGCGUACCUUUUGUAUAAUGGGUCAGCGACUUAUAUUCAGUAGCAAGGUUAACCGUAUAGGGGAGCCGUAGAGAAAUCGAGUCUUAAUAGGGCGUUUAGUUGCUGGGUAUAGACCCGAAACCAGGCGAUCUAUCCAUGAGCAGGUUGAAGGUUGGGUAACACUAACUGGAGGACCGAACCCACUGUCGUUGAAAAGCCAGGGGAUGACUUGUGGAUAGGGGUGAAAGGCUAAUCAAGCCUGGUGAUAGCUGGUUCUCCCCGAAAGCUAUUUAGGUAGCGCCUCGGACGAAUACCAUAGGGGGUAGAGCACUGUUUCGGCUAGGGGGUCAUCCCGACUUACCAAACCGAUGCAAACUCCGAAUACCUAUGAGUACUAUCCGGGAGACAGACUGCGGGUGCUAACGUCCGUAGUCAAGAGGAAAACAAUCCAGACCGCCAGCUAAGGCCCCAAAAUCAUAGUUAAGUGGGAAACGAUGUGGGAAGGCAUAGACAGCUAGGAGGUUGGCUUAGAAGCAGCCACCCUUUAAAGAAAGCGUAAUAGCUCACUAGUCGAGUCGGCCUGCGCGGAAGAUGUAACGGGGCUAAAACUAUGUGCCGAAGCUGCGGAUNNNNNNNNNNNNNNNNNNNNNNNNNNNNNNNNNNNNNUGCUGGAGGUAUCAGAAGUGCGAAUGCUGACGUGAGUAACGACAAAACGGGUGAAAAACCCGUUCGCCGAAAGACCAAGGGUUCCAGUCCAACGUUAAUCGGGGCUGGGUGAGUCGACCCCUAAGGCGAGGCCGAAAGGCGUAGUCGAUGGGAAAAUGGUUAAUAUUCCAUUACUUCUGUGUAAUGCGAUGAGAGGACGGAGAAGGCUAAAUCAGCCUGGCGUUGGUUGUCCAGGUGAAAGGAUGUAGGCAUGUAUCUUAGGCAAAUCCGGGGUACUCUAUGCUGAGAUCUGAUAGCAAGCUGUACUUGUACAGCGAAGUGGUUGAUGCCAUGCUUCCAGGAAAAGUCUCUAAGCUUCAGUUACACAGGAAUCGUACCCGAAACCGACACAGGUGGUCAGGUCGAGUAGACCAAGGCGCUUGAGAGAACUCUGCUGAAGGAACUAGGCAAAAUGGUACCGUAACUUCGGGAGAAGGUACGCUGUUGUUGGUGAUGGAACUCGCUUCCUGAGCUGACGACAGCCGCAGAAACCAGGCCGCUGCAACUGUUUAUUAAAAACAUAGCACUCUGCAAACACGAAAGUGGACGUAUAGGGUGUGAUGCCUGCCCGGUGCUGGAAGGUUAAUUGAUGGGGUUAGCGUAAGCGAAGCUCUUGAUCGAAGCCCCAGUAAACGGCGGCCGUAACUAUAACGGUCCUAAGGUAGCGAAAUUCCUUGUCGGGUAAGUUCCGACCUGCACGAAUGGCAUAAUGAUGGCGGCGCUGUCUCCAGCAGAGGCUCAGUGAAAUCGAAAUCGCUGUGAAGAUGCAGUGUACCCGCGGCUAGACGGAAAGACCCCGUGAACCUUUACUGCAGCUUGACACUGAACUUUGACCUUACUUGUGUAGGAUAGGUGGGAGGCUUUGAAGCUGGAACGCUAGUUCCAGUGGAGCCGUCCUUGAAAUACCACCCUGGUAAUGUUGAGGUUCUAACUCUGUCCCGUGAUCCGGGACGAGGACCGUGUCUGGUGGGUAGUUUGACUGGGGCGGUCUCCUCCUAAAGAGUAACGGAGGAGUACGAAGGUGCGCUCAGCGUGGUCGGAAAUCACGCGUAGAGUAUAAAGGCAAAAGCGCGCUUAACUGCGAGACCCACAAGUCGAGCAGGUACGAAAGUAGGUCUUAGUGAUCCGGUGGUUCUGUAUGGAAGGGCCAUCGCUCAACGGAUAAAAGGUACUCUGGGGAUAACAGGCUGAUACCGCCCAAGAGUUCAUAUCGACGGCGGUGUUUGGCACCUCGAUGUCGGCUCAUCUCAUCCUGGGGCUGAAGCAGGUCCCAAGGGUAUGGCUGUUCGCCAUUUAAAGAGGUACGCGAGCUGGGUUUAGAACGUCGUGAGACAGUUCGGUCCCUAUCUACCGUGGGCGCUGGAAAUUUGAGAGGAUCUGCUCCUAGUACGAGAGGACCAGAGUGGACGAACCUCUGGUGUACCGGUUGUGACGCCAGUCGCAUCGCCGGGUAGCUAUGUUCGGAAGGGAUAACCGCUGAAAGCAUCUAAGCGGGAAGCCUACCUCAAGAUAAGAUUUCCCUAGGACUUUAUGUCCUCUAAAGAGCCGUUCGAGACUAGGACGUUGAUAGGUUGGAUGUGGAAGCAUAGUGAUAUGUGAAGCUGACCAAUACUAAUUGCUCGUGAGGCUUGACUAUACAACACCCAAGCAGUUG